rnacentral:tRNA from 1 species
UGGGAUAGCUCAGUUGGUAGAGCAUCUCCAUGGUAAGGAGAAGGUCGUGGGUUCAAAUCCCAUUCCC